rnacentral:rRNA from 1 species
CUGGUUGAUCCUGCCAGUAGUCAUAUGCUUGUCUCAAAGACUAAGCCAUGCAUGUCUAAGUAUAAAUGUUAUACAGUGAAACUGCGAAUGGCUCAUUAAAACAGUUAUAGUUUAUUUGAUAAUCGAAUUUACAUGGAUAACCGUGGUAAUUCUAGAGCUAAUACAUGCUGGUUAGCCUGACUCUUGAGGAAGGGCUGUAUUUAUUAGAUAACAAACCAAUAUUCCCCGUGUCUAUUGUGAUGACUCAUAAUAACUGAUCGAAUCGCAUGGACUUUGUCCGCGAUAAAUCAUUCAAGUUUCUGCCCCAUCAGCUUUCGAUGGUAGUGUAUUGGACUACCAUGGCUUUAACGGGUAACGGAGGAUUAGGGUUCGAUUCCGGAGAGGGAGCCUGAGAAACGGCUACCACAUCUAAGGAAGGCAGCAGGCGCGUAAAUUACCCAAUCCUGACUCAGGGAGGUAGUGACAAGAAAUAACGGACCGAGGCCUAUGCUUCGGGAUUGCAAUGAGUAGAAUUUAAACCCCUUUACGAGGAUCAAUUGGAGGGCAAGUCUGGU